CGGUAGUAGUUUAUCGGUAGACGGUGCGCAAACUACGAACUCGAUGGUGACGCAAGACACGGACAAGCUUUUUAUCCAGGUUCGGCCGCCGAGUUGGCGUAAUACCUACGUCCUGCGUCUGGUUGUAUUGAUUUGUGCUGAGAGAAUAUGAUGUGAUGUGUCCUCUAGGGGACCCCUGCCCCUCCUUAUAUAUCCUGAAGGGACA
rnacentral:lncRNA from 1 species